AUUUUUGUUGCCCUCCACUGGACUCUCUCCAAUUUGUCCAUGUCCUUUCUAUAGUGGGGAUCCCAAAACUAGACACGGUACUCCAGAUGUGGCCCCUCCAGUGC